GUCCUUAAUACGCUACUCUGGAUAUUGUUGUUUCAAUAGACAGUAACGUUUAAUUAAUGUCUCCGUGCAAUCAUCGGAACUUUUGUAGACAAACAAUAAUAUUUUCAGCUGUUCUUAACACGACCAAAUAGGCAUUUGUCCCUAUCAUUUGAACAAUAUCACUCUCGCGGUGUUGUCACCCGUUGCGUGUGCAAUCAACUCAGAGUGCGUAAUAGGCACGAGCCUUUUCUAAACAGCGGCAGUGGCUUUAUGUCGAAUCAUUUAAAGCACAUACCGCCAUGCGACAAACGAAGAACAGAGGUGAAAUAUCUCACAUGGGUGUCGCUCGUGUGCCAUAUGUGGCUGUGGACGACACACGUGCCCUUGACUCACCUUCCACAGCAGAAGGCGCCGAGUGAAAACGGAACCACUGGGACUGUGCUGUUUGAACCAAGACCAGGGUCUCCACAUCGCCUGGCUGUGUGUGACGGAUGACGAGCAGAGGGUUGUAGGGGUAUUUCUGCGGUGGCGCUGGGCACUGUUUGGGUCCGUAUGUGCCAGCGGAGCUCUUUGGUGUGGGAAGUGAUGACUCCUGACGGCCGCGCAGGGCUGCUGCCUGCACUUCCAGCCUUGCUGCCGCGCUCGGACAGGCGGCUCCUCCGACUGUGUCCGGGGAGGGCAAGCGGAGGGUCGCGUCGUGGCGUCGCGGGCGGAGGGUCGCGACCGACGAAAGGACAGUGUGUCCGUCAAAGCUCUCCCUACCUCCCGUCCCUCGCCCUCAACUUUCAGGAACUGUGCGGCUUGCUUCAGACAGGCCUCAAAGCCGUCCUGAAAGUGCUGUCGUUCCGACCCUUCGCGUGGAACCAUGUUCUCGGUAUUCCGCAGGAGAAGGACUGUGUGCUCCAGGAUCUCAGCCUUCUCUACUCGUCCACUGGCAAGACACUAUAAUAGAGGUGCAGAAGCGAUUAGUACAUUGUUACUGAACUGGGACAGCAACAGGGCCCUCAGACUCUCCAGACUGCGGUUCAUUCUCUCCCUCCGAUGUCUCUCCACCUCAGACUUUAGGAGCUGUAAAAAUAACAUGGUGAGAGGAAAAUUAGGAGUCAAAAUCAGUAAUGACAAUUCACUUAAUGCCACUAUUAUUAUUUGCCCUUUAUAAUUUUAUUUGAAAUGUGUCAACAUCAAACAACACAGAGAUGCAAUUUGACCUUAAUUUCCACACUGCACUACAUCAAGAUGCUUGUAUUUUGACUUAUGUUUACUAUAUAUCUAUAAAACUCAUAAUUAAAUGAUCCCCUUUGGAAAUAAUUAUUUACUAAAUCUUACACAUACAUGCAGUUCCA